CCUACGGGGUGCAGCAGUAGGGAAUUUUCCACAAUGGGCGAAAGCCUGAUGGAGCAACGCCGCGUGGGUGAAGAAGGUCUUCGGAUCGUAAAACCCUGUUGUUAGAGAAGAAAGUGCGUGAGAGUAACUGUUCACGUUUCGACGGUAUCUAACCAGAAAGCCACGGCUAACUACGUGCCAGCAGCCGCGGUAAUACGUAGGUGGCAAGCGUUACCCGGAUUUAUUGGGCGUAAAGGGAACGCAGGCGGUCUUUUAAGUCUGAUGGGAAAGCCUUCGGCUUAACCGGAGUAGUGCAUUGGAAACUGGGAGACUUGAGUGCAGAAGAGGAGAGUGGAACUCCAUGGGUAGCGGUGAAAUGCGUAGAGAUAUGGAAGAACACCAGUGGCGAAAGCGGCUCUCUGGUCUGUAACUGACGCUGAGGUUCGAAAGCGUGGGUAGCAAACAGGAUUAGAUACCCUUGUAGUC
rnacentral:rRNA from 1 species